ACGCUCGACACCUACGGGAGCAGCAGUUGGGAAUAUUGGACAAUGGAGGAAACUCUGAUCCAGUGACGCCGCGUGAAGGAAGAAGGUCUUCGGAUUGUAAACUUAUUUUGUCAGGGAAGAAAAAAUGACUGUACCUGAAGAAAAAGCACCGGCUAACUACGUGCCAGCAGCCGCGGUAAUCUGAGCGGGCUGGCAAGGC
rnacentral:rRNA from 1 species